rnacentral:rRNA from 1 species
UCGGGAAUUUUGGGCAAUGGGCGAAAGCCUGACCCAGCAACGCCGCGUGAAGGAUGAAAUCCCUCGGGAUGUAAACUUCGCAAGAAUGGGAAGAAUUAGUAGGGGUUAAUACCCCCUAUGAUGACGGUACCAUUUGUAAGCUCCGGCUAACUCCGUGCCAGCAGCCGCGGUAAUACGGGGGGAGCAAGCGUUGUUCGGAUUUACUGGGCGUAAAGGGCGCGUAGGCGGCCAGCACAAGUCGGUUGUGAAAUCUCCGGGCUUAACUCGGAAAGGUCAACCGAUACUGUGCGGCUAGAGUGCGGAAGGGGCAACUGGAAUUCUCGGUGUAGCGGUGAAAUGCGUAGAUAUCGAGAGGAACACCUGCGGCGAAGGCGGGUUGCUGGGCCGACACUGACGCUGAUGCGCGAAAGCCAGGGGAGCGAACGG